rnacentral:snRNA from 1 species
UUGCUUUGGCAGCACAUAUACGAACAUUGGAACGAUACAGAGAUUAGCAUGGCCCCUGCGCAAGGAUGGAUUUGUGAAGCCUUCCAUAUUUUU